AUUGAACGCUGGCGGCAGGCCUAACACAUGCAAGUCGAACGGUAACAGGAAGCAGCUUGCUGCUUCGCUGACGAGUGGCGGACGGGUUAGUAAUGUCUGGGAAACUGCCUGAUGGAGGGGGAUAACUACUGGAAACGGUAGCUAAUACCGCAUAACGUCGCAAGACCAAAGAGGGGGACCUUAGGGCCUCUUGCCAUCGGAUGUGCCCAGAUGGGAUUAGCUAGUAGGUGGGGUAACGGCUCACCUAGGCGACGAUCCCUAGCUGGUCUGAGAGGAUGACCAGCCACACUGGAACUGAGACACGGUCCAGACUCCUACGGGAGGCAGCAGUGGGGAAUAUUGCACAAUGGGCGCAAGCCUGAUGCAGCCAUGCCGCGUGUAUGAAGAAGGCCUUCGGGUUGUAAAGUACUUUAAGCGGGGAGGAAGGGAGUAAAGUUAAUACCUUUGCUCAUUGACGUUACCCGCAGAAGAAGCACCGGCUAACUCCGUG
rnacentral:rRNA from 1 species